rnacentral:tRNA from 1 species
GAGGUUGUGGCUCAGAGGUAGAGCGCUUGCCUAUCAAGCAUGAGGCACUGGGUUCGAUCCUCAGCACCACA